rnacentral:rRNA from 1 species
GUGGGGAAUCUUAGACAAUGGGGGAAACCCUGAUCUAGCCAUGCCGCGUGAGCGAUGAAGGCCUUAGGGUUGUAAAGCUCUUUCAGCUGGGAAGAUAAUGACUGUACCAGCAGAAGAAGCCCCGGCUAACUCCGUGCCAGCAGCCGCGGUAAUACGGAGGGGGCUAGCGUUGUUCGGCAUUACUGGGCGUAAAGCGCACGUAGGCGGACCGGAAAGUCAGAGGUGAAAUCCCAGGGCUCAACCUUGGAACUGCCUUUGAAACUCCUGGUCUUGAGGUCGAGAGAAGUGAGUGGAAUUCCGAGUGGAGAGGUGAAAUUCGUAGAUAUUCGGAGGAACACCAGUGGCGAAGGCGGCUCACUGGCUCGAUACUGACGCUGAGGUGCGAAAGCGUGGGGAGCAAACAGGAUUAGAAACCCGAGUAGUCC